rnacentral:pre_miRNA from 1 species
GUAGUACUCCCUCCGUCCGGAAAUACUUGUCGAAAGAAUGGAUGUAUCUAGACAUAUCUUAGUUCUAAAUACAUUCAUUUUUAUCCAUUUUUUCGACAAGUAUUUCCGGACGAAGGGAGUAGUAA